rnacentral:rRNA from 1 species
AUACGGAGGGUGCAAGCGUUGUUCGGAAUUACUGGGCGUAAAGCGCGCGUAGGUGGUCUGUUAUGUCAGAUGUGAAAGUCCACGGCUCAACCGUGGAAGUGCAUUUGAAACUGGCAGACUUGAGUACUGGAGGGGGUAGUGGAAUUCCCGGUGUAGAGGUGAAAUUCGUAGAUAUCGGGAGGAAUACCGGUGACGAAGGCGACUACCUGGCCAGAUACUGACACUGAGGUGCGAAAGCGUGGGGAGCAAACAGGAUUAGAAACCCCGGUAGUCC